rnacentral:rRNA from 1 species
UACGGGGGGAGCAAGCGUUGUUCGGAUUCAUUGGGCGUAAAGGGCACGUAGGCGGCUUGGCAAGUCCGUCAUGAAAUGUACCGGUUCAACCGGGGCACUGUGUCGGAAACUGCCUGGCUUGAGGUCGAGGGAGGAGAGUGGAAUUCCUGGUGUAGCGGUGAAAUGCGUAGAUAUCAGGAGGAACACCCGUGGCGAAGGCGGCUCUCUAUCUCGAUUCUGACGCUGAGGCGCGAAAGCUAGGGGAGCAAACGGG